rnacentral:tRNA from 1 species
GCCGGCAUAGCUCAGUUGGCAGAGCGAUACAUUCGUAACGUAUAGGUCAGGGGUUCGAUUCCCUUUGCCGGCA